AGGUCCUGCCUGCCCAGUGAAAUUUAUUUUAACGGCCGCGGYAUUCUAACCGUGCAAAGGUAGCGUAAUCACUUGUCUUSUAMAUAAAGACCAGUAUGAAUGGCUAAAUGAGGAUAAACCUGUYUCCUGCACCUAAUCAGUGAAACUGAUCUCUCAGUCCAAAAGCUGGGAUAACAACACAAGACGAGAAGACCCUGUGGAGCUUAAAACACACUACUAUGAAACUAAAUAAGUAWUUAGUACCCAUUKUAAGYUGGGGCGACUUCGGARCAAAACAAAACUUUCGAGCACAGAACCACCACUUCUUACUAAGGCUAACAAGCCGACAUAAAUGACCCAGKCAUACUGAUCAACGAACCAAGUUACCCCAGGGAUAACAGCGSUAUCUUSUUCAAGAGCCCAUAUCGACAAGAAGGUUUACGACCUCGAUGUUGGAUCAGGACACCCAAAUGGUGCAGCCGCUAUUAAAGGUUCGYUUGUUCAACGAUUAACAGUCCUACGUGAUCUGAGU
rnacentral:rRNA from 1 species